GCUAAUGAAUGAAUGUGAUCAUUUAAAAGAAAGUCUCUUUCAGUAUGAGAGAGAGAAAACAGAAGGAGUAGUGGUUGUGAGACAACUUCAACAAGAAGUGGCUGACAGCGUAAAAAAAUUAACGACGUUAGAGUCUCCACUGGAAGGUAUAUCACGUUGUCACAUUAAUUUGGAUGAGACACAGGCCUCAAAUAAGAAAUUAUUUCAAGUGAAAAGUCAAAUAUAAGAAACUCCUGGAAAUGACAAUAAAUAUGUUAAAUGUAUUUGGAAAUGAAGACUUUGAUUGCCAUGGAGACUUAAAAACAGAUCAACUGAAAAUGGAUAUUCUGAUUAAGAAGCUAAAACAGAAGUUUGAUGAUCUUACGGCAGAGAAGGAAGCUUUAUCUUCAAAAUGUGUCAAUUUGGCUAAAGACAAUCAAGUUCUUCAACAGGAGUUUUUAUCUAUGAAAAAAGUACAACAGCAAUGUGAGAAACUUGAGGAGGAUAAAAAGAUGUUGAAAGAAGAAAUAUUAAAUCUUAAGACACAUAUGGAAAACAAUAGGGUAGAACUUAGUAAACUACAAGAAUAUAAAUUGGAGCUAGAUGAAAAGGCAGUGCAGGCAGUAGAAAAAUUAGAAGAAAUCCAUUUACAGGAACAAGCACAAUAUGAAAAACAAUUAGAGCAGUUAAACAAGGAUAAUAUGGCUUCACUAAAUAAAAAGGAACUCACACUUAAAGAUGUGGAAUGUAAAUUCUCAGAAAUGAAAACUGCUUAUGAAGAGGUUACAACCGAAUUAGAAGAAUAUAAGGAAGCCUUUGCAGCAGCAUUGAAAGCUAACAAUUCCAUGUCAAAAAAAUUAACAAAAUCAAAUAAGAAAAUAGCAGUGAUCAGCAUGAAGCUCCUUAUGGAGAAAGAGCAGAUGAAAUAUUUUCUCAGUGCUCUUCCUACAAGGCGAGACCCAGAGUCACCUUGUGUUGAAAAUCUUACUAGUAUAGGACUCAACAGAAAAUAUAUUCCCCAAACACCCAUAAGAAUUCCUAUUUCAAGCCCACAGACUUCAAAUAACUGCAAGAACUCUUAGACUGUGAUGGAGCUGGACUGUGUAGAACAAAUAACUAGAGAAACAAAGAGAAUUGUUGCUGUGUUGAACACUUGCUCCCGUCUACUUACUUCUCUAUAAUCCACUGCCAUGGAAUGAGUGAUUUUUCUUAGAAGCAGAGGUGGAGCCACUGAGGAAGCACAGGCGAGCCCUCCCCAGCACGUGCUCACUGGUCCCCAACAGAACAACCGCUGCCGCAUCCAUGAGGCUCCCAUUGUGGUGGGUUGUGUCACCCCACAAUGUCACUGUUGCUGAGCCCCCAUCGCCUCUGUGUUGUGGAGCAGUUAGAGACACACUGUGGUGUCUGAGUGGCUCUGCGUGAAGGACCGUUUUCUAGGUGAGAGGCACAUCUCAACACAGCUGACUGAUCAGACUCAGCCGUUUUGCACACCCUGGUCAGAAUGAAACAUUCCUUGGGAACUCGGGCCGUGAGAAGCAUCCUUCCUGAUCACCUGACUGUAGAAACAUCCUUAUCGCACCCUCCCGGGCAAAGGCCCAACAGCCUGACUGCAGGAACAUCCUUGCCAUAUCCUGCCGGGCAGCAAGCUCUACCGCCCACACCCCUCCUUCCCAGUCCCAUGAUCACCCCAGCCUGUGAGAGGCAGUUGGUGCUGGCAGUAAGCUGGUUUCCUCCUCUGCAGGGUUUUGCUAGUAAUAAAGGUGUUGCUGUUGAAGCCGUCAA
rnacentral:lncRNA from 1 species